CGCGCAGCUCUGACCACGACUGAGCGUGUGCUGGCGAGAGAUUCUCUUCUACGACUACUGCAAUUUUAAAAAAGCGGCGGCAGCCACAUUCUGGGCCCUGCACCGGAAGAUGCUCCCGGAUCUGUGAGGUCGACCUCGGGCCACUUUCAACCCUGGAGUCAGUCGUAAAAAAAAAACUUUUGGACUUGUGUUUUUUGCACUGCGGACGAGGCUUUUGUGAUGUCCAGACGCCGGACGCACAAGAAAUUCCAGAAGACAUGAAAGACAAAGGGAAUUGGUGCGGCAGUGAAGCAUCCCUCGGCGGGAUCGUCCAGCGGACCGGUCGGGUCACUACGCACCUGCAGACGCGGGAGUUUGUGUAUUCACAAGCGAUUGAAAGUCUCGUCGGCGACAAACAGAACUGCGGAGUCUUUCUUCCUGAUCCAGCUUCCAUGUGUCCCGACUGGUGUUGUUUCACCCUUCGGAGGAGCAAAGACAUCUCAUCGCAAUUUGUCCAAAUCACAGCGGAGCCCCGGUAUGACGAGCGGCCCGCCACAGCUAUGA